GACGAACGCUGGCGGCGUGCUUAACACAUGCAAGUCGAACGGAAAGGCCCUGCUUUUGUGGGGUGCUCGAGUGGCGAACGGGUGAGUAACACGUGAGUAACCUGCCCUUGACUUUGGGAUAACUUCAGGAAACUGGGGCUAAUACCGGCUAGGAGCUCCUGCUGCAUGGGGGGGGUUGGAAAGUUUCGGCGGUUGGGGAUGGACUCGCGGCUUAUCAGCUUGUUGGUGGGGUAGUGGCUUACCAAGGCUUUGACGGGUAGCCGGCCUGAGAGGGUGACCGGCGACAUGGGGACUGAGAUACGGCCCAGACUCCUACGGGAGGCAGCAGUGGGGAAUAUUGCACAAUGGGCGGAAGCCUGAGGCAGCAACGCCGCGUGCGGGAUGACGGCCUUCGGGGUGUAAACCGCUUUAGCCUGUGACGAAGCGUGAGUGACGGUAAUGGGUAAAGAAGCACCGGCUAACUACGUG
rnacentral:rRNA from 1 species